UGCUCUCUCUCUCUCUCUGUCUAAAAUAAAUAAAUCUUAAAAAAAGAAUAAAUACAAAAACAGCAUUUAUGGAUGGUAUGGGACUUGAAUUCAGAGGACCUGGAUCCGAGUUCUAGUUCUUCAUUCUAUUAGCUGUGGGAAUUUGGACAAAUUACUGUACCUCUCUGAAUCCCAAUUUCUUUCCCUAUAAAAUGGAGAUAAUAGUACCUACCUCCCAAGUCUGUUAGGCGAGCUGACUCAAUCGCGACAAGCGAAGAAGAGCUCUGUGAGCUAGAAAACACUAGGUGAAUAUUCCUUAUUAUAAUCAAUCAGUUCUUUCCUUCUUGUUACCUGCAUCUGUGCCCUCAAAGGCUCAGGCUGUCUCAGGAUGAUGAGCUUUAAGAAGAUGAUUUAAGUUUCUUGGCUCUCUGGUUAUCUGUGAGCAGAAAACUUGACUUGUGUGAUUUUCCAGCAGUUAUCCGAGCUUAAAAGUUUCAUAAAAGGGGACAAAUUCCAAAUGUUCAACCUUCUAAAAUCAAAAGGAAUGAGUCACAGGUCAUUAGCAUCCCUGGAACAUAGUGGCUUCUGUUUUAUUGCUAUUAAGUAGGAUUUAGCUCUAUUUUAUUAAGGCAAUUUUUACAAUCAUGUGAGAGGUUAAUGCAUUUCACACAUAAUCCACUGCCUAGCUCACUAAAUGCUGAACCCAUUAAAGCCAAGCCAUGAAGGGGAAGGUUUCAAGACAGAGUGACAAAUUAUGGGUGGUAUGCAAUGAGUGACUAAAAGUAUCUGAGGGCUUUUUUUUUUCUCUUCAAAAUUUAAAAUUUGUUCUCAAGCAGGAAAAUAACAGAGCUGUCCCAGCAAAACGACUUACUUGGGAGCAUAUAGCUGCAGCUGGUGAGCUCUGGUAGGUGUCCAUGGACUGAUGUCCAGGCGCUGAAGGACCGAGAGAGCAUCUUCUCAACAGCCCCCAGCCCCCUGGCCAGUUAGGUCUUCUUUUAUGAUUUCUCUACAGCCCGGGACCUGACAGACAGUAUCUGCCAGGAAUUCUGCAUUUAUUAAGUGAUAAUGGAUUGCCCCGCCCUCCGUACUCUCUUCAUGGAAGACAGAGCUGGUUGGAGUUUCAAGCUGUCGGAGGUCACUGUGAUCACGUGAAUAUCUGAAGCCUGGAGAAGGAGGCAGGACCCAGAUCAUAGAAGACUUUGUAGAUUUUUUUAGAGUAAAUAUCUAGGUUCUUGAACCAAAAUGGAAUGAAGCUCUUGAACUUGAUUUCUUCUCGUCGUUCCUGCUACAGUGCUGCAACGGAAGGAACAGGGAAAUUCUGCACCAUUUCUGAAAGCCGCCAAGAGAUCUUAGCCAUUCCUCUGAAACCUCUGAGAGUUUUAACAAAAUUGGAAGUGGAGAGUGCUGGUAGAGCUGAAGCUAAUUUAAAUUUAUGAACCCUGAUGGCUCAUUGCCCUUUGUCACUUUCGGGAAAGGUCUGGUGACUUACUAAUUACCAGCAGAUUAUCCAGAGUGAACCACCUAUAAAUGUCAUCAACAAGCAUGAGGAAAUGGUGAAAAGAUGCUGAUUUUGUGAAGAGACUUAGUGAUUCAAAGAGAGGGGCUGGAAGACCAGUUCAAACAUUUAGCACGAACCGUGCACCCAGGAGAAACAAUAUUUCAAAAAGCUCUUUUACUUGUGUGUGAUAUUGUUAUGUUGAUGUUAAAAGAUCAAUCUGAAAACAAUAAAAGAGUUCUUAGAAGGGAAAGGUAUGGGGUUUCCAUUGGUUUCUACCCCAUCAAGGCUGUGCCUGGCCAAAUGGACACGACAAAGAACAGCCUGAUGAAUUAGAAAACUAGCUUGAGAAACUCUCCCAAACUCAGAUGAAGGUUUGAAGAGGUAGAACAGAAACGUUAAAGGAAAAGGAAAAGGAAAAGAACUUCAGAACGAAUGGGGAAUAUAAGUAAAAAUAGCCAUGGAAGGCCAGAUCCAGGAAAUUCACUGCCCAUUUAAUGGAAGUCCCAGAAGCAGAGAGGUUUCUAGAAGUGAAGCUGUAAUUGAAGAAGAGAGCAUCCUUGAGUUGAAAAAAAUAAAUACAUCUUCAAAUAGCAAUAUCUACCAAGGGUUGGGAAGGAGCAUUGAAGGAAGUUCAAAACUUUAGAGAUUAUCGGACAGAUAUCACUAGUACCAGACAGAAAAACCAACAAAAGGAUCAGAUUGUUGACCGAUUUGUCUGCAAAUCAUUCUCAAAUAUGAUGGAAAAUAUUUGUAAAAUUUGUCGGCUAAAUAAUGGUAACUCUAUAGUUUCUCCUAUCAAAUAAACUAUUAAAACAAUAGCAGCCGUGGUUACUUACUAUGUGACAGGCACUGUGCAAAGCAUGUUGGUUGAAUUAUUUCAUUUAACACUCACGGCAACCCCAUAAGGCGGCCACUAUCAUCCUUUUUACAGACGAGGAAAUUGAGGCACAGAGAGGUUAGUAACUUGCCCAAGGUGACGCCGUAAAGGCAGAAGAGACACAGUAUGAACUCAGCUCAUGCUUUUAACCACCACACUACACUGCUUCCUAAAAUAAGGUGAGAAAUAUUAAUCUCCUAAUAGGAGAACCAGACUUUGAUCAAUACAUGUUAAGCUGCAACUAUGAUAAGUGCCAGUAGGGGGUGCUAUAGAAUCUUUAUGCUUGGGAAUCCAGCCUGGCAUUUCACAGAUGAAUGGCGUACAGUUACUGCUUAUUGAAUGCUUUCUUUCUCCCUGGUACGGAGUGUCAUCCAAAGGGAAAAACUAAGGGAAGGAUCUGGGUGACGAUUUUCUGCUUACGUGGAGCACAGAGAAACUCAGACUUGGAAGGAACCCUGUCUACCAGAGGAAGAUUAUCGUCACCGUGCCCAGUGUCUGCUUAUAAACCCCAUCGACGGGGAGCUCACUACCUCUUCCUCUGAGGUUGUUUUUCAGGGUUGGAGAUAGAAAAUGAUUGCGAAGUUUUGGCUGGUGAACAAUAAAGAGAGAGGGACGAUGUGCUUUAAAUAAAUGUCUUUCCAAAGGGCAGUCACGCUUAUAAUGGAAAAAGGAAGUGUUCGGAAAGGCCGCCACGCAGC